rnacentral:rRNA from 1 species
AGGCUUGGCACAGGUGCUGCAUGGCUGUCGUCAGCUCGUGUCGUGAGAUGUUCGGUUAAGUCCGCUAACGAGCGCAACCCUCGCUGUGUGUUACAAGUGUCACACGGUACUGCCGGUCUUAAGCCGGAGGAAGGUGGGGAUGACGUCAAGUCAGCAUGGCCUUUAUGUCCUGGGCUACACACACGCUACAAUGGCCAACACAAUAGGUUGCUAAGCCGCGAGGUGGAGCCAAUCCUCAAAGUUGGUCUCAGUUCAGAUUGCAGGCUGCAACCCGCCUGCAUGAAGAUGGAGUUGCUAGUAACCGCAGGUCAGCUAUACUGCGGUGAAUACGUUCCCGGGGCUU